UUACUCUAAAUUUUGUGUCAGUAUAAAAGUACCUAAACCCUAAAUUUCUACCCUCUCUCACAGUCUCACACCUUCUCAUUCUUUCACUCUCUCUCUCUAUAAAAAUUGCGCCGCUCUUCACUAAUCUGAGGUCUGAUCCUCUCAUCCUCUGCUCAAUUCUUCGGUUCCUCUUCAUUCACUCGUGACUUUGGAGCCGCAACUUGAGGCUUUAUGUGGAUCCGUCAUGAAUUUGAGAGUGAAUGUAGAAGGUGAUGAGAUUCCGUUGCCAAUGUCGCCACCGGUUGAGGCUCAUCUACCAUCCUCCUCCAACAAUAUAUAAUGUCGUGUUCCUGUUUUAAAAAACUCAAGUUUGUGUAAUUUGUACCUUUGAGGCAACUUUAUUUGGUCUGUAAAACUAUUUAAUACUUUGUGCAAACUUAUUAAGGUGUGCUAACCUAAUGGCACCUUUAACUCCUAAACUUUAACUCUUUAAGAGUUAAACUUUUGUGUAAAAUAUUCGGGUAGAACUUGGAGCGGCUGCCCUUAGAGGCUAAAUUUUAAAUUAUUAUUUCCCAA